rnacentral:rRNA from 1 species
GACGAACGCUGGCGGCGUGCUUAACACAUGCAAGUCGAACGGAAAGGCCCCUUUGGGGGUACUCGAGUGGCGAACGGGUGAGUAACACGUGAGUAACCUGCCCUUGACUUCGGGAUAACUUCAGGAAACUGGGGCUAAUACCGGAUAGGAAUCCUUGCUGCAUGGUGGGGGGUGGAAAGCUUCGGCGGUUUUGGAUGGACUCGCGGCUUAUCAGCUUGUUGGUGGGGUAGUGGCUUACCAAGGCUUUGACGGGUAGCCGGCCUGAGAGGGCGACCGGCCACAUUGGGACUGAGAUACGGCCCCGACUCCUACGGGAGGCAGCAGUGGGGAAUAUUGCACAAUGGGCGGAAGCCUGAUGCAGCAACGCCGCGUGCGGGAUGACGGCCUUCGGGUUGUAAACCGCUUUCAGCAGGGGCGAAGCUUGUGGUGACGGUACCUGCAGAAGAAGCACCGGCUAACUACGUG